rnacentral:rRNA from 1 species
CCUACGGGUGGCAGCAGUGGGGAAUAUUGCACAAUGGGGGAAACCCUGAUGCAGCGACGCCGCGUGAGUGAAGAAGUAAUUCGUUAUGUAAAGCUCUAUCAGCAGGGAAGAAAAUGACGGUACCUGAGUAAGAAGACCCGGCUAACUACGUGCCAGCAGCAGCGGUAAUAAGUAGGGGGCAAGCGUUAUCCGGAUUUACUGGGUGUAAAGGGAGGGUAGACGGCAGGGCAAGUCUGGAGUGAAAGGCGGGGGCUCAACCCCCGGACUGCUCUGGAAACUGUACGUCUGGAGUGCAGGAGAGGUAAGUGGAAUUCCUAGUGUAGCGGUGAAAUGCGUAGAUAUUAGGAGGAACACCAGUGGCGAAGGCGGCUUACUGGACUGUAACUGACGUUGAGGCUCGAAAGCGUGGGGAGCAAACAGGAUUAGAUACCCUGGUAGUC